GGGAGGGCGGAGCGCGGGCCGCGCCACAGCGGCGGGUGGUGUGGGACGUGGUGGUGGGUUGCUGUCCCUGCGGUCGUAUCGAGGAGCUCAGUUAGGCUCCGUGAGGGGUUGCGGUGUUACUGAGGACUGCGAGAGGCCGUGAGCCCUCUCAGCUCUGCCCCUUGUGAGGAGAAGGGCCGCCCCAGCCCCGAAUGAAGAAGCUACACUGCCACCUGUGCACCCUUGUUUGACUGAUGCUUGAUCCUGUCUGCUGGGAAGGCUGGCUGAAUGGAGGCAGACCCAUCUCCUCUUUCUCUCCUCUGGAACGUGCUUUCAGUCUGCUGCUGCAGUGCAGAUUUGCAGCUGGGUUCUGCUCAGGGUGUGUGGCUGCUCGGCCUCACUGCUGCUUUCCUGCACUGGAUGCGUGCACCUCCAGGAGUGUUGGUUCUUCUGCAUCUCAGGGAAGGAGACUCAUCCUCAUCUGCGCCCUUUUCAGCUGUGAAGGAAGUGUUGGUGCAGGGUCUCCAGGAGGGCCAUAGGUCCUAUGGGCCAACCUGGGCUCAUCCACGCAGAGCUCCUCCUGGCGCAGUGUGUCUGCCAUAUCCCAGUUUCUCACACUGGAUGGGCUGGGCUGCACCACGGGGAGGUGUUGGGAAGCACAGCGGCUGAAUGUGCCACUGCAGAGCCCACUCACAGCCAGGGCGCAUCCCCAGACUGCUCAUUUCUGGGCUCUCUUACCACCCAUGCAAGCACCUCCAUGAGGCCAGUGUGCCAAGCAGACUCCACCAUGCGGCAUUUCCCAGCAGAUCCCCCCAUGCUGCUUCUCCAGACUGCAUGUGCAGCUGCAAGCAGGAAUUCCCAGAGGAGCAGAAGAACUCUCCGGGCUCUGCUGUUAUCCUACAAGGCAUCAGCGUGGGGCCGGAUAAACCCAACGGAUCAAGGGCAGCUUGGCUGGUCAAUGGGAGGCAGCCAAGGCAAACAGCAGUGGCUCCCAGACCUCAACAGGAGCCCCUCGGUGGCUCACUACACUUCAUUUGCUCUUUUGCUUUUAGGAGAAGGGGUGAGGUGUGGGGCUGGGCAUGACAACAUGUGGGCUCUCGAGCGAACCCCCCCAGGGCCGAUGGAAACUGCGUACCGCUCAGCACGCUGCGCACGUCAUUAGGAAAAUGUUAGUUAAAAGGAAGGAUGCAAAUGGUCCCAGGCUGUGCUUCCUGAUCACUCCGCAGUGCCUCUGUGACAUCAUGUGCUUUUGUUACGGCUCCGAAACGCCUUCGAUGCUUUUUCGGGCACGUUCCCUCCCGCUCUGUCAGGGCUGGUUCACAUUAGGAUGUUUGCUCAGCAGCUACUGGGGUUUUGGCAGGACGGCUGCUGCCUUCUGCUUGCAGAGCACGAGGGGAUCGUGGGAUGCUGCUGGACGUGUCAAAGUGGAGUAUGGUUAUGCUGGGGAGAAAAGCAGCACUCGGGUCCGGACCCAUAGGGCUCCCAUUUGGAGGUGCUGCUGGUGCAAUGGGGCUGGGGGUCCCAUCAGCAUCAUGGGAAAUGGGGACCGCAGUGACUGUGGGCUCUGCAGACCCCUCCGGGGAGGUCACCCCCAUCCCAGACCCCUGGCAAAAAAAGAAAACAGUCCCAGCGUAUUCAUACUUGCAAAAACAAACAGGAGGAAGGCAGGAGAAGGAAGGAGCACGCCGUAGAGGAGUGCUGAGUUCCUAGACCUCCAAUCCCUCCAUUUCCAAUGGCCAUUUCCUCCUGAGCACCCCACACCAAG
rnacentral:lncRNA from 1 species